rnacentral:sRNA from 1 species
CUUCUCAUCACAUCCUCGCGACUAAUGACAAUCCUUACUCACGCCCGGAGUAAAGUCUCUCAUUAGCCGCGCGAACCUCUGUAAUAGAAGACCAUUUUUUACCAUUUCAGAUGGUAUGCCCUUCGUCUUUCAAGCUACAGGCUGAUUGGCUGCGCGC